CAGAUUAGGAUCAUAACUUUUGACCUCUCAUGUUCUCGUAGCUAACCGCAGGCGUCCAUGUGUUUAUGCCGCAAAGGGUUGAGAACAUGAGAGGUUAAAAU